GUGCUGUGGGAUUCGCGGACCCCUCUGGCCGCGCUGUGGCUGUUUCACCGCUCCCCGGCUGGGACUUGGAGUCCCUUAUCUUUCCCUGGUUUGGUACAUGACCCGGAAGCCUCGGCUGGCCGUUGCGUCAUCCAUGGCGCCGGCGCAGAGCGAGAAGGAGGUGGGAACGCCGUGAAGCAAGAGCGGUCGGCAGAGCGGGGAGGCGAACUGCAGCAGAGUUCUUGCUUUCCGGCAGGUGAUGGCGCCCCCCGCGGCCUAGAGGUCCAGCGCCCGCCGCGAGCAGCGGACAGUCCUCCUGUUGUGUCCGACCGAGAGUCCUGGUGACUUUGAACAUGCUGGUGCCGCUAGCCAAGCUGUCCUGCCUGGAUGGUCUUCAACUUCUACUGUGCCUCGAAUUACUACCCAUUAUACUAUUUAUCCCCGGGAUAAGGACAAGAGAUGGGAAG
rnacentral:lncRNA from 1 species